UAACCUGCCCAAGAGAUCGGGAUAACACCUGGAAACAGAUGCUAAUACCGGAUAACAACAGAUGAUGCCUAUCAACUGUUUAAAAGAUGGUUCUGCUAUCACUCUUGGAUGGACCUGCGGUGCAUUAGCUAGUUGGUAGGGUAACGGCCUACCAAGGCGAUGAUGCAUAGCCGAGUUGAGAGACUGAUCGGCCACAUUGGGACUGAGACACGGCCCAAACUCCUACGGGAGGCAGCANAC
rnacentral:rRNA from 1 species